AAUGAAAAAUUUACUGAUGCUGGUGAAGUCUUCUCCUUUCACAGACAUUAGGAGUACAAUUAUCUAUUGUAAAUUUCAGUCUGAGGCUGAUUUGCUUAGAUCAUAUGAAGCUCGUGUGGGAAAAUGAGAACCAAAUCUGCUCGCUCAUUUGUGACAUUCAGCAGCAAGGAAUGACUCAGAAGAGAAGUACUUACUCUAUGUUCUUCAUCGAAGCCCUUUUAGUUGCUCCAGUCAAGCUCCGACCCCCCUCUAACGGUGUUAUGGUGUGGUCCAUGAAGCCUUAUGCACUUUUUUUUCCUUUGCAGAUGUGGUCACUGCCAAAGCCUUGCUAUCACAAGUAUAUCUAUGAAAAGGUUGCAUCAGCAUAUAAACCUGGAAGAAGCUAUCUCCAUUUUUUUGUACAGGAUGCAGCAUUUAUAAUUUGAUGUCAUAUGCUAUAGUCAAUGAGAACUGCUUUGCAUGAGAAGGUACUUCAUUUAUUUGUAUUUCAGUUUUUUUUUCUCUCUUGAAGACUUCAACUGUAAGAGUUUCUUUUUCUUUGAAACAUUUGAUAAGAUUCCCUUGGUGUGAAAUUGAGUUUACAUCAAGUUAUGUUGUAUUUGUGUGAUUCUUUUAAUGGAUUUCUUA